GCUAGUGAGAUAGAAGUAGAAUAAGAUCCGGCAGAACAGCCUGAAGGAGACCAAGAUAACCAAAGUAGUAGAGGGCCAAUUCCAUGGCACAAAACGGUAGUGUGAGAAAGAGCAGGUCGAACAUUCUGGUGACAGGGACAACUGGGACAGGCAAGAUAACGACAUCAUUUGCUUUAGCGGAGGCUACCCAGCUCCGUCACAUCAUCAUCAGAGAUUUGGUCAAGGAGAAGAACCUCCAUGAUGGCUGGGACGACUAGCUUGACUGUUACCUCAUCAAUGAAGACCUCGUUUGUGAUGAACUUGAGGAUUUGAUGGAAGAAGGGGGGAACAUUGUAGACUACCAUGGCUGUGAUUUUUUUCCUGAGCGUUGGUUUGAUCAAGUAGUUGUGCUUCAGACUGACAACACGGUGUUGUAUGAUCGCUUGAGUAGGAGAGGUUACACAGGUUCAAAGCUCUCAAACAAUAUUGAGUGUGAAAUCUUUCAAGUUCUGCUCCAGGAGGCGAAAGAAAGCUAUCCAGAGGACAUUGUGGUGGCAUUAAAGAGCGAUACCAUUGAAGACAUUACCAGAAAUGUUGCAAGUUUAACGGAUUGGGUGGGAAGUUGGCAUCCUGCUACCUAGUCGCAUCACAUCAGAUCGUCUCUCCUCUCUGUCCUAAGUUCUUUUGCUAUGUAAUUCUAGUUAUCUGGGACACUAGUCCCUGCUUGAGUAGGUUUCAGUAGCAUAGUUUGCUUGAAGCAGAUUUUGGCAACGAUGUUGAUAAGCCUAUAAAGUUUUCUUCAGAUUAAGCUCAUAGCUGCUGCAUAAGAUACUAUUUUAUAUAGCAAAUGUUUUGGAGUAUUUAAUAUACUGUGACC